CCCCUCUUCUGGUUUUUUUUGUAGGUGAGCCUAGAAUAUGGUUUUGGCCACUGGUUUUCAAGACAGGGAUUUACUGGAGUAAGAAAAAUGAAGUUGACAUACUGCAAUACAUUAACAGGUUUCUUCAUCUGUGGAUGGAAAAGCACUUGGCACUUUUGAACACAUUGGUUGACAAUGCAAUACUGAAACAGUCACCAAUCCCCAAUACUCUCUAGAAUUUCAAAGAAGUGUUCUAAAUGAGGGCUGAGGAGUGCCUUAGUGCCUUAAUAGUUAGCCUUGUGAAAUUAAAAAAAAAAAAGUGGAAAGUAAAAGGAAAUAUCUGAUUUGUACAUGUGUUUUGUAGUACAAGUAAUUUUGAUCUAUCUUUUAAAUGUAUUAAAUUUCUGGGCUAGAGAUUAUCCAUGUCUUGUUUGUAUAGUAAGGAAGAUUACUAAAUGGGAUCUUCAUAUAAAAAUACAGCAUGAAGAUGUAAAAA